rnacentral:sRNA from 1 species
CAUAUUUAGUCAUUCAUUUUUGAUCAGGAGAAAGAAGACAGCCAUCAUUUGAAAGGUAAAGCUUCAGCGACUGAAGGAGUGUGGACUUUUUGAAUUUCAAGAACAGUAAAGUUGGAACACAGCAGAGGGUGUGUAAUAAAAUACAGAUUGGAAAGAAGACUGAUGAAGAAAAAUAACAGCAUGAUUCAGGCACACCAUUGAGUUCUUUGGGAUGCCCGAAAGUGUCUGGUUGGGAAACAUGAAAUAGAAGACGAGAACCUGCCUCAGCAAGCGUACCUGAGAAUACUUUUAAAGGAACCUGUUGAUAAAUGCAAAACAGUGGCUGUUGCAGCGUGACGACAGCAUGUACGAUCCCUGAAUGGGCCCGUGGG